rnacentral:rRNA from 1 species
AACGUACGCUGGCGGCACGCCUAACACAUGCAAGUCGAACGAAGUAGCAAUACUUAGUGGCAGACGGGUGAGUAACAUGUAGGUAUCUGCCCUUUGGCCUGGAAUAACACGAGGAAACUUGUGCUAAUACCGGAUAAGUCUUUACGGAGAAAGCUUUAUGCACCAUUGGAUGAGCCUGCACUUGAUUAGUUUGUUGGUGGGGUAAUGGCCUACCGAGACUGUGAUCAAUAGCUGAUUUGAGAGGAUGAUCAGCCACAUUGGGACUGAGACACGGCCCAAACUCCUACGGGAGGCAGCAGUGGGGAAUCUUGCACAAUGGAGGAAACUCUGAUGCAGCGAUGCCGCGUGAGUGAAGAAGGCCCUUGGGUUGUAAAGCUCUUUCGUCGGGGAAGAAAAUGACUGUACCCGAAUAAGAAGGUCCGGCUAACUUCGUGCCAGCAGCCGCGGUAAUACGAAGGGACCUAGCGUAGUUCGGAAUUACUGGGCUUAAAGAGUUCGUAGGUGGUUGAAAAAGUUAGUGGUGAAAUCCCAGAGCUUAACUCUGGAACUGCCAUUAAAACUUUUCAGCUAGAGUAUGAUAGAGGAAAGCAGAAUUUCUAGUGUAGAGGUGAAAUUCGUAGAUAUUAGAAAGAAUACCAAUUGCGAAGGCAGCUUUCUGGAUCAUUACUGACACUGAGGAACGAAAGCAUGGGUAGCGAAGAGGAUUAGAUACCCUCGUAGUCCAUGCCGUAAACGAUGUGUGUUAGUCGUUGGAAAUUUAUUUUCAGUGUCGCAGGGAAACCGAUAAACACACCGCCUGGGGAGUACGACCGCAAGGUUAAAACUCAAAUGAAUUGACGGGGACCCGCACAAGUAGUGGAGCAUGUGGUUUAAUUCGAAGAUACGCGCAGAACCUUACCAACACUUGACAUGUUCGUCGCGACUCUAAGAGAUUAGAGUUUUCGGUUCGGCCGGACGAAACACAGGUGCUGCAUGGCUGUCGUCAGCUCGUGUCGUGAGAUGUUGGGUUAAGUCCCGCAACGAGCGCAACCCUCACUUUUAGUUGCCAUCAUUAAGUUGGGCACUCUGAAAGAACUGCCAGUGAUAAGCUGGAGGAAGGUGGGGAUGACGUCAAGUCCUCAUGGCCCUUACGUGUUGGGCUACACACGUGCUACAAUGGUAUCUACAACAGGAAGCAAGACUGCGAAGUUAAGCAAAUCCCUAAAAGAUACCUCAGUUCGGAUUGCACUCUGCAACUCGAGUGCAUGAAGCUGGAAUUACUAGUAAUCGUGGAUCAGCGUGCCACGGUGAAUGCGUUCCCGGGUCU